rnacentral:lncRNA from 1 species
UGAGAUUGUUUGAGGUGGAUUUUGGGCUGUUUGAUCUUGAUCAGAUGGUGGGCAUGGGUUGAGAUGUUUGAAUAUGAUUGAAAGUCCAAAACCACUCGAUUUUAACCCAGAUUUUUGCUCUAUGAAAAGAGGGACUGUGGCAACAGAGAGGGAAUAGUGGGCAGUCGGUAGCAAAUUUUAUUUUUCUUUAUUUUAGGCUUUGUUUUAGGAUU